ensembl:snoRNA
CUGGCCCUGAAUCAAGGCCAGCAGCUUCCUGAUGCUGUUGGUUUCAAGCAGGAGCCUAAAGAGAUGUCUUUCUACAGUCUUUUAGCCAUUUCAGAACUUGGGCAGUGAAAUGGUCAAUUCAUUAGAAAGACACAGCU